UCAACGGCAACACGAGGGUUAUCCUGUCUCCUUUUUCUAAUCAGUGAACCUGACCUCUUCGUGAAGAAGCGAAGAUACACUCUAUAAGACGAGAAGACCCCAUGGAGCUUAAAACAUAGAAACAACUUCUUUACCCCCAAACCCUAAAAAAUAAGAAGAUCUGUUAGCUAGUUUUCGGCUGGGGUGCCCAAGGAGAACAACCCAACCUCCCUGACGACCUGUAUCCAAGAGCAACAACUCAAAGAAACAAUAAAUUGACGUAAAAUGACCCGAUUCUUAAUAAUCGAUCAACGAACCAAGUUACCCUGGGGAUAACAGCGCAAUCCAUUUCAAGAGCCCCUAUCGACAAAUGGGUUUACGACCUCGAUGUUGGAUCAGGGUAUCCCAGUGGUGCAGCAGCUACUAACGGUU
rnacentral:rRNA from 1 species